CUUGAAAAAUCAGCUCCUUAAAGCCAACUACCAGGAAGCAUUCAUCAAAAGGCCACGUUGUGGUUCUGCAGCUCAUCAAGCGAAGGCCCGUGUGGGUGCUUGGGCCCUUCCACCCGGAAGAUGCCCAGGAACAGAAAACAUUUCGAAAAUGGUCCCAGAGAAGGAGAAAGCAGCAGCAUCGCACCCCACGUGAGCUGCAGAGAGGAAUCUGGAGACCCGGGUGUCCAUAUCAGGUCCCACUUUCCUGGAUCUACAGGCUUCUGCAAGCUCCUUACCUGCACACAGCCUCAGCCUUGUGUCUGUAGAAUGGAGGUAACGAUUCCUAACUCUCUGGAGGUUUGCAGUCAAAUGCGAUGGCGUGAGUGGAAAUGCCUACCACAACAUCAGCCACCUGUGCCAGGGCCUGAACUCACUGGCUUCAAGGGCUUACGCUUUGACUCCAUCUAA
rnacentral:lncRNA from 1 species